CUGAGAAUAAGCGAUAAAUUGUAAAUUUAUUAACGAGAAAAAUUCUCUUUUAUUAAGUC
rnacentral:tRNA from 1 species